rnacentral:rRNA from 1 species
UACAGAGGGUGCGAGCGUUAAUCGGAAUUACUGGGCGUAAAGCGUGCGUAGACGGUUCUGUAAGUCGGAUGUGAAAUCCCCGGGCUCAACCUGGGAAUUGCAUUCGAGACUGCAAAGCUUGGGUGCGGAAGAGGGAAGCGGAAUUUCCGGUGUAGCGGUGAAAUGCGUAGAUAUCGGAAGGAACACCAGUGGCGAAAGCGGCUUCCUGGUCCAGCACCGACGUCAGGCACGAAAGCGUGGGGAGCAAACAGG